ACCAUCAACCACACAUCAAGGAAGAAUGCAGAUUGUUCCAGUGAGCUUGUCCAAUGAAAAUGAGCAAGAGGAUGCUUGGGGUGAACACCCAUCUAACUUUCAAGAGGACACAAUCGCUGAACUGAGACCCUCAAGUACCCACCAGGCAAGAACAAAAAGU